rnacentral:piRNA from 1 species
GGGGUCUGGUGCUUCCCGGAGAGCCGA